rnacentral:tRNA from 1 species
GCGGGUAUCGUAUAAUGGCAUUACCACAGGUUUCCAACCUGUUGACAGGGGUUCGACUCCCCUUACCCGCUCCA